rnacentral:piRNA from 1 species
UGUCCAGACAUUGCCAGAUGUCCACUGGGA